rnacentral:rRNA from 1 species
AACGUAGGUGGCGAGCGUUAUCCGGAUUUACUGGGCGUAAAGCGUGCGCAGGCGGUUGUGCAAGACAGAUGUGAAAUCCCCGGGCUCAACCUGGGAACUGCAUUUGUGACUGCACGGCUAGAGUGCGGCAGAGGGAGAUGGAAUUCCGCGUGUAGCAGUGAAAAUGCGUAGAUAUGCGGAGGAACAUCGAUGGCGAAGGCAAUCUCCUGGGCCUGCA